rnacentral:rRNA from 15 species
GUUAAAAAGCUCGUAGUUGAACCUUGGGCCUGGCUGGCCGGUCCGCCUCACCGCGUGUACUGGUCCGGCCGGGCCUUUCCUUCUGGGGAACCUCAUGCCCUUCACUGGGCGUGUUGGGGAACCAGGACUUUUACUUUGAAAAAAUUAGAGUGUUCAAAGCAGGCCUUUGCUCGAAUACAUUAGCAUGGAAUAAUAGAAUAGGACGUGUGGUUCUAUUUUGUUGGUUUCUAGGACCGCCGUAAUGAUUAAUAGGGAUAGUCGGGGGCAUCAGUAUUCAAUCGUCAGAGGUGAAAUUCUUGGAUUGAUUGAAGACUAACUACUGCGAAAGCAUUUGCCAAGGAUGUUUUCAUUAAUCAGUGAACGAAAGUUAGGGGAUCGAAGACGAUCAGAUACC